GGCCCUAUCGUCUAACGGUUAGGACACGGCUCUUUCAAGGCCGGAAUCCGGGUUCGAUUCCCGGUAGGGUCACCA
rnacentral:tRNA from 1 species